rnacentral:rRNA from 1 species
AUUGAACGCUGGCGGCAGGCUUAACACAUGCAAGUCGAGCGGAGACUUCGGUCUUAGCGGCGAACGGGGUGAGGAAUGCCUGGGAAUCUGCCUGGUAGUGGGGGAUAACGUUCCGAAAGGAACGCUAAUACCGCAUACGUCCUACGGGAGAAAGCAGGGGACCUUCGGGCCUUGCGCUAUCAGAUGAGCCCAGGUCGGAUUAGCUAGUAGGUGAGGUAAAGGCUCACCUAGGCGACGAUCCGUAGCUGGUCUGAGAGGAUGAUCAGCCACACUGGAACUGAGACACGGUCCAGACUCCUACGGGAGGCAGCA